rnacentral:rRNA from 1 species
CCAAUAGCGUAUAUUAAAGUUGUUGCAGUUAAAAAGCUCGUAGUUGAAUUUCGGGAUCAGUGCGCUGGUCGUGCCUUCGGUAUGUACUGGUGUUACUGGUUCCUACCUUCUGACGAACCGUCAUGUCAUUAAUUUGGUGUGGCGGGAAAUCAGGACUGUUACUUUGAAAAAAUUAGAGUGUUUAAAGCAGGCUCGCGCUUGAAUACAUUAGCAUGGAAUAAUGAAAUAGGACGUUCGAUCCUAUUUUGUUGGUUUCUAGGAUUGACGUAAUGAUUAAUAGGGAUGGUUGGGGGCAUUAGUAUUCAAUUGUCAGAGGUGAAAUUCUUGGAUUUAUUGAAGACUAACUACUGCGAAAGCAUUUGCCAAGGAUGUUUUCAUUAAUCAAGAACGAAAGUUAGGGGAUCGAAGACGAUCAGAUACCGUCGUAGUCUUAACCAUAAACUAUGCCGACUAGGGAUCGGAUGAUGUUAAUUUUUUAAUGACUCAUUCGGCGCCUUACG